rnacentral:rRNA from 1 species
ACGAACGCUGGCGGCGUGCUUAACACAUGCAAGUCGAACGAAGAGCGAUGGAAGCUUGCUUCUAUCAAUCUUAGUGGCGAACGGGUGAGUAACGCGUAAUCAACCUGCCCUUCAGAGGGGGACAACAGUUGGAAACGACUGCUAAUACCGCAUACGAUCUAACCUCGGCAUCGAGGAAAGAUGAAAGGUGGCCUCUAUGUAUAAGCUAUCACUGAAGGAGGGGAUUGCGUCUGAUUAGCUAGUUGGAGGGGUAACGGCCCACCAAGGCGAUGAUCAGUAGCCGGUCUGAGAGGAUGAACGGCCACAUUGGGACUGAGACACGGCCCAGACUCCUACGGGAGGCAGCAGUGGGGAAUCUUCCGCAAUGGACGAAAGUCUGACGGAGCAACGCCGCGUGAGUGAUGACGGCCUUCGGGUUGUAAAGCUCUGUUAAUCGGGACGAAAGGCCUUCUUGCGAAUAGUGAGAAGGAUCGACGGUACCGGAAUAGAAAGCCACGGCUAACUACGUG